rnacentral:rRNA from 1 species
GAUAGACGCGUGGCGCGUGCCUUAACACAUGCAAGUCGAACGAGACCUUCGGGUCUAGUGGCGCACGGGUGCGUAACGCGUGGGAAUCUGCCCUUGGGUUCGGAAUAACUCGCCGAAAGGCGUGCUAAUACCGGAUGAUGUCGUAAGACCAAAGAUUUAUCGCCCAGGGAUGAGCCCGCGUAAGAUUAGGUAGUUGGUGAGGUAAAGGCUCACCAAGCCGACGAUCUUUAGCUGGCCUGAGAGGAUGAUCAGCCACACUGGGACUGAGACACGGCCCAG